rnacentral:rRNA from 1 species
GACACGUGAAAUCCUGUCUGAAUAUGGGGGGACCAUCCUCCAAGGCUAAAUACUCAUCAUCGACCGAUAGUGAACCAGUACCGUGAGGGAAAGGCGAAAAGAACCCCGGGAGGGGAGUGAAAUAGAACCUGAAACCUGAUGCAUACAAACAGUGGGAGCACCCUUGUGGUGUGACUGCGUACCUUUUGUAUAAUGGGUCAACGACUUACAUUCAGUAGCGAGCUUAACCGAAUAGGGGAGGCGUAGGGAAACCGAGUCUUAAUAGGGCGAACAGUUGCUGGGUGUAGACCCGAAACCGAGUGAUCUAUCCAUGGCCAGGUUGAAGGUGCCGUAACAGGUACUGGAGGACCGAACCCACGCAUGUUGCAAAAUGCGGGGAUGAGCUGUGGAUAGGGGUGAAAGGCUAAACAAACUCGGAGAUAGCUGGUUCUCCCCGAAAACUAUUUAGGUAGUGCCUCGAGCAAGACACUGAUGGGGGUAAAGCACUGUUAUGGCUAGGGGGUUAUUGCAACUUACCAACCCAUGGCAAACUAAGAAUACCAUCAAGUGGUUCCUCGGGAGACAGACAGCGGGUGCUAACGUCCGUUGUCAAGAGGGAAACAACCCAGACCGCCAGCUAAGGUCCCAAAUGAUAGAUUAAGUGGUAAACGAAGUGGGAAGGCCCAGACAGCCAGGAUGUUGGCUUAGAAGCAGCCAUCAUUUAAAGAAAGCGUAAUAGCUCACUGGUCGAGUCGUCCUGCGCGGAAGAUGUAACGGGGCUCAAAUCUAUAACCGAAGCUGCGGAUGCCAGUUUACUGGCAUGGUAGGGGAGCGUUCUGUAGGCCAAUGAAGGUGCAUUGUAAAGUGUGCUGGAGGUAUCAGAAGUGCGAAUGUUGACAUGAGUAGCGAUAAAGCGGGUGAAAAGCCCGCUCGCCGAAAGCCCAAGGUUUCCUACGCAACGUUCAUCGGCGUAGGGUGAGUCGGCCCCUAAGGCGAGGCAGAAAUGCGUAGUCGAUGGGAAACAGGUUAAUAUUCCUGUACUUGAUUCAAAUGCGAUGUGGGGACGGAGAAGGUUAGGUUAGCAAGCUGUUGGAAUAGCUUGUUUAAGCCGGUAGGUGGAAGACUUAGGCAAAUCCGGGUCUUCUUAACACCGAGAAGUGACGACGAGUGUCUACGGACAUGAAGUAACCGAUACCACGCUUCCAGGAAAAGCCACUAAGCUUCAGUUUGAAUCGAACCGUACCGCAAACCGACACAGGUGGGCAGGAUGAGAAUUCUAAGGCGCUUGAGAGAACUCGGGAGAAGGAACUCGGCAAAUUGAUACCGUAACUUCGGGAGAAGGUAUGCCCUCUAAGGUUAAGGACUUGCUCCGUAAGCCCUGGAGGGUCGCAGAGAAUAGGUGGCUGCGACUGUUUAUUAAAAACACAGCACUCUGCUAACACGAAAGUGGACGUAUAGGGUGUGACGCCUGCCCGGUGCUGGAAGGUUAAUUGAAGAUGUGCAAGCAUCUAACGGUCCUAAGGUAGCGAAAUUCCUUGUCGGGUAAGUUCCGACCCGCACGAAUGGCGUAACGAUGGCCACACUGUCUCCUCCCGAGACUCAGCGAAGUUGAAGUGGUUGUGAAGAUGCAAUCUACCCGCUGCUAGACGGAAAGACCCCGUGAACCUUUACUGUAGCUUUGCAUUGGACUUUGAAGUCACUUGUGUAGGAUAGGUGGGAGGCUUUGAAGCAGAGACGCCAGUCUCUGUGGAGCCGUCCUUGAAAUACCACCCUGGUGUCUUUGAGGUUCUAACCCAGACCCGUAAUCCGGGUCGGGGACCGUGCAUGGUAGGCAGUUUGACUGGGGCGGUCUCCUCCCAAAGAGUAACGGAGGAGUUCGAAGGUUACCUAGGUCCGGUCGGAAAUCGGACUGAUAGUGCAAUGGCAAAAGGUAGCUUAACUGCGAGACCGACAAGUCGAGCAGGUGCGAAAGCAGGAUGGAAGGGCCAUCGCUCAACGGAUAAAAGGUACUCCGGGGAUAACAGGCUGAUUCCGCCCAAGAGUUCAUAUCGACGGCGGAGUUUGGCACCUCGAUGUCGGCUCAUCACAUCCUGGGGCUGUAGUCGGUCCCAAGGGUAUGGCUGUUCGCCAUUUAAAGUGGUACGUGAGCUGGGUUUAAAACGUCGUGAGACAGUUUGGUCCCUAUCUGCAGUGGGCGUUGGAAGUUUGACGGGGGCUGCUCCUAGUACGAGAGGACCGGAGUGGACGAACCUCUGGUGUACCGGUUGUAACGCCAGUUGCAUAGCCGGGUAGCUAAGUUCGGAAGAGAUAAGCGCUGAAAGCAUCUAAGCGCGAAACUCGCCUGAAGAUGAGACUUCCCUUGU